UAAGAAGUGUAUGCACACUUAAUGAUUUACAAGGCACAUAUGAUGCCAUAGUAAAUACAUGAGAAUAAAGAUUUUUCAAUGUAAAGGCAAAAAGCAUUGGCCUUAUCGGGCUUCUUUAGGGUUAUCAAGCCCUAACACCAAAGCAAAAAAACUUUUGAUACUUUCUUCAUUUGCUUUCACUGCUGUUUGAUCUUGGUUUUGGAGAGCACCGCCAUGAAACCCUAUGGUUCAAGCUUGAAUACAGUCCAUAUUGCUUCUACACCUGAUGAUUGUUUGGAGAUUUUGACAAAUAAAAGCGCGAGUUGGAUGCUCUUGUGCGUGAUGUGGAUUCUUAUCUCCUCAGCUAUGGAUGGAUACUUGUAGCAGAUUGAUGUAUAUGAUUCAUAUGGAAUAUGUAUAUUCAUUAUGUAAUUAUAUUUGUAGUUGAGAGCUAUGAUCCUUGAUGUAAAAUGGUUGAUGUAUAUGUAAUGGUAGAUGAUGUAUUAGGCCAACAUCAUAGUUCUUGUAAGAGAAUGUAAUGUUGUAUCUUGUUGUAACUUGGCUAAUGCUAAUUAAUGGAAUUGGUUCUAUGGA